UGAAGUUCAGGGUAUUUUUAAGUUGCUGGUAUUGUGCUCAUUGGGGUAUUUUUAUGCUGUCAUGUGAUGUUUGUGGCACAGCUUCCUCUACUGAGCUAUAUUGGACAGUGUGGCUUGAAAUUUGAGAUGGAAAAUACAAUCAGGAUAAAUUUUUGGCCCAGGGUACAGUGAGGACUUGGAGUGAUUUUACUGAAUGCCUUGUUCUGAUUAUUUCAGAGGCUUCUGAAGGUAACAGCUGAACUGCCCCUCCCUCUAGCCCCUGGGUAGUGAUGAGAGGCAUGAGCGUAUGUUGUGAGAGUAGAGUGCCUCUGCUGGCCUCCAUCCUUGGAAGGACAGAGGUACCCUGGCUGGUCAGGCUUGGCAAGUUGACCCAAUGAGAUAAGUAGACAAAACCUGGGUGGAAUCAGGGAAGAACCCUAAUCCCACCUGAUUUCUGUUUUCGCAGAGAAGAGCCUUCUCUUUCUCUGCUAUCUGCUAACUUAAUCCUUCUAAGGGCGGUGGAGUUGCUAACAUUCAGGCCAGGUGUUGACCAGGAAGUGAAGCGAGAUUAUUAAGAGUACACUUACACACAGCAAGCUGCAUCACAAGUGCCUCAGAAUGCUUGAAAAUGAGGUCCUAUCUGGCACAGCUGCCCAGGGUUUGCCUUACCUGUUCACAUCUGUGGGUUCUCUGUGAUCAAGAACUGCCUGCCCUGGGAAAUCCAUUUGUUUUCCUCCACUCAGUGCCAAAUGCCUUCGUCUUUGUUUCUGCAAGCUCUCAACAUUCACUGCAGGCUCUAACCCAAUGACAAGUCUUUAGAAGAGAAGAGAGGGAAAAAUAGACAGAAACACACCAAGGAGAAGACAAUGUGAAGACAGAGGCAGAUAUUGGAGUGAUGCAUCUACAGGCCAAGGAAUGCCAAGAAUUGCCAGCAGCCACCAGAAGCCAGGAGAUAACAGAUUCUCUGUUCGAGCCUCCAGAAGGAUCCAAUGCAGCUGACACCUUGAUUUCAGACUUCUGGCCUCCAGAACUGUGAGAAUAAAUAUCUGAUGUUUUAAACUACCAAUUUGUUAUGGCAGCCUUAGAAAACUAACACAUUGCUGCUCAUGUACUUGACUGGAAAAGCCCUGAACUAUUUAACCAACUAUCUCCUUAUUCCUCUUUCACAUGUCCUGUUUCUCCAAAUUAGUUAAUCUCAAUUCCAAAGCUUCAGUCCAAGCCACAAUCAUCUCUCUCCAAGACUGUGACAACGGCCUCUUGAUUGAUUAGGAGCCCUGCCCCUAGAACCUAGAGUAUUAAUCUGACCGUGUCACUUACUUUCUGAACUCCUCUACAUCCCCCAACACAUACAAACAUAUACAGUCCUUUUUGUUACACCUGGAGAGAAAUUCAGACUCUGCGCUAUGGUUCUGCAAGACCCUGCCAACCUGUAAUGGUCAGAGAGCAUUAACUGCUGUAAUAAAUUUGCCCAAUAACUAACUAUGGCUCAAAUGGUGUAGAUCUUUAUUUCUUGCUCACAUAACAACAUACAGUCAUUCAGGGAUAUAGGCUGACUGUCAUCUCCUACACGAGUCUGUCUUUCAAAGUCACCCUUGGGGUCAUUUCCAUUUCGACUAGCUGGAGGAGAAAACACAGAGAGAAGUACAUAUGAGUGUUUUUUAUGUGCAGAAACGGGUAUCACUUCUGUUAAUAUUGCACUGGCUG
rnacentral:lncRNA from 1 species